rnacentral:rRNA from 1 species
UACGGGGGGGGGCAAGCGUUGUUCGGAAUUACUGGGCGUAAAGGGCUCGUAGGCGGCCAACUAAGUCAGACGUGAAAUCCCUCGGCUUAACCGGGGAACUGCGUCUGAUACUGGAUGGCUUGAAUUCGGGAGAGGGAUGCGGAAUUCCAGGUGUAGUGGUGGAAUGCGUAGAGAUCCGGAGGAACACCAGCGGCGAAGGCGGCAUCCUGGACUGGUCCUGACACUCAGGAGCGAAAGCGUGGGGAGCGAACAGG